rnacentral:rRNA from 1 species
GAAGUUUGCAGAGAUGCGAAUGUGCCUUCGGGAACUGUGAGACAGGUGCUGCAUGGCUGUCGUCAGCUCGUGUUGUGAAAUGUUGGGUUAAGUCCCGCAACGAGCGCAACCCUUAUCCUUUGUUGCCAGCGAUUAGGUCGGGAACUCAAAGGAGACUGCCAGUGAUAAACUGGAGGAAGGUGGGGAUGACGUCAAGUCAUCAUGGCCCUUACGACCAGGGCUACACACGUGCUACAAUGGCGCAUACAAAGAGAAGCGACCUCGCGAGAGCAAGCGGACCUCAUAAAGUGCGUCGUAGUCCGGAUUGGAGUCUGCAACUCGACUCCAUGAAGUCGGAAUCGCUAGUAAUCGUGGAUCAGAAUGCCACGGUGAAUACGUUCCCGGGCCUUGUACACACCGCCCGUCACACCAUGGGAGUGGGUUGCAAAAGAAGUAGGUAGCUUAACCUUCGGGAGGGCGCUUACCACUUUGUGAUUCAUGACUGGGGUGAAGUCGUAACAAGGUAACCGUAGGGGAACCUGCGGUUGGAUCACCUCCUUACCUGAAAGAA